UUUGUAACAGCCCAUUAUACCUGCAAAUAUCAAAUAGCCUUUCUAUACAUUGAUUUAGAUUAAUGAUAGAAAAUAGCCUAAAAUUAGAUGGUUAAUUGAUUAUCAAGCCAAACCUUAAACUAAAUAGGUGAAGUGCAAUCUUCCAUAAUUAAUGGAAAAAUAACACUACUGAAUUCUACAUUGUUCUGAAUAAUUUUCUUGAAGAAUCCUUCUUGUAAAAGAAGUGCCAUACAUAAAAGGAAUAUGAUCCACUUCAUUAUUUGACAUUCCCUGUAGAAUCCACUUUCCACUUUAUUCUGAUACCCCAAUAUAGGCAGGGUUUUGUCUCAAGGCUGAUCCAAACCAGUAACAUAAGAAACUAAGAAUACUACAUAGGUGAAAUGCCUGCUUAAUUCUGGUAGAGUUCAAUGGCAUCGAUAUUUAGAUAAUUUUUUUAUGAAUACCUAAGAAAAAAAGUAAGUAAAAUCAUCUGAACUUCUCACAUAAGUAAAACUUAACAAAUGUUUUUAACUUUUAAAUAAGACUUUCUCACUUAAUUUCUCUAAAAAGUGAGAUUUAUAAGCUGAUUUAUCUUUUCAUUUUUACUCCUAUAUAGAAGUUCAUCCAGAAACUUGAUUUGAAUUUUUGGCAAGAAUUAUAGAGUCAUAAGACUGCUCUACUUAGCAGUUUGAACUAUUAUUAUCUUGAUGAAUUGAUAUUGCUAUGCCUCCCGUGCAUUGAUGGAAUAUGAUCCCUUUGAUCAUUGACAUUCCAGGGAGAACCUCUUUGUGACUUUAUUCUUGAUACCCCCAUUUAAGCAGGGCUUUCACUGAAGGCUGACCUACACUGAAAUUUUUGCCCAUCUCCAUAUUCGUGGCUUUUAAUGCCAUACACAUGCCUCUUUUUCUUUUCCUCCUCCUUUUAUUUUCUCUUUCCAUGUUUCCUUUCUCAAAAUUUCAACCAUUUUAUAAGCAGAUACCUAAAACCAUUGAAGGGGCAACAAAGAUUAGAUAAGAACGACAGCCAAACACCACAGGAUCAUGAUCUGAUGGUGCGAAUAGCGUUGCUUUAGUAAAGGAGAUUUAGACAAAUUUCUGUAAAGAAGCAUAAAUGAAACUUUGUUUCAAAAGCAUAUAAGCAUGUAAAAGAUAUAAAAGAAAUGUAAUGCACAAGAAAGAAUACCACCAUCCGCAUUACUUUAAAGAUCUAUACAUAUCAAUCUCAUAGACCCCGUCACCACCUCAACAAGUAAAAGCCUAAAAGAAUGUAAUGAAAAGUUCAAGGCAUAUACAUAGAAGUGCCCAACCAAAUAAGCAAACUAAGUUACAAAUCGACAUUUUCAGUAACAAUCUAAUUACAUACUUAUAUAUUUGUGCUAUUGUGGGUUGAAAUAUAACAACGUCAUCGCUUGUAAUGUUCUAUACAGCCUAUAAGUACAAAGGUGAAAAUGAGAAAACCCUGAAGAAGCUAUUAUGAAUAAAAUAUUAUCCAAUGGGUCCUAUGCAAAAAAGAUAUAGUGAAUAUAAAUUUAUCCAGUGGGUUCGUCGUACCCAUUUGAACUGAUACGGUGCAAUAAAAUGUGACAAUCAUAACUAGCAAUAUAAUCAUCAUCCCCUUAUUAUCAUCUCCAACUUGACACUCAUCAUGAGUGACUGAUGAGUUAUAAUUCAUCAGAACAUUCUCUGACCUCUGAAGGCACAAAUUUCUAGAACUAUAGGGGAAAAGAUAAAGUGCGAUUUGUCAAGAAAGAAACAAAAGCAGCUUAAACACAACGAGAUCCACCCCAUACUAUUCCCUAACAAACCCCGAGUGUCUGCAUGCGCAUGCCGCCGUGAUUCAUUGCUGCUAGAGGAUUGUCUCUUGAAGACCUUUACUAAAGCUAGCUGGCGCGUGUGCAUUGUAGAAUUAUGGGAAUCAGGUGCAACUUAAAGACCAAGAUGUUUGUAAAAUUGAUUGAAUUUUAACGAAUAUACCUAAAGUUCAAUGCAACCUCGAACCUGGUUUUAAAUAGGUUUCAGUAAUUGUUGCUGAGAGUAAAUUUUGUAUACUCCAAGUAUUCUUGUUAAUUUCUAUUUUUUUACUAAGCCCAUAAGUAUUUAUUGUAAGAGAUAAUAAAUUAGAGUUGGGAAGAUUUAUAAGGUCUAACUCUUCAUGAUUUUUUUAUUUUUUUUUCAUUUACUAAAUUCUGAUCUUUUUUAAGGGAAUAGUCAUAGCCUAAUAAUGUAAAUUUUUCCAAUGCCACUGUUAAUCUGACAUUAUCUUUCUAGGGUGAAACAGGCAAUUCUAACCCAAAACACCGAGUUUUUUUUCAUAUUUAAAUAUCAAAUUCAUACUUUAUUUAAGAAAAUACAGAAAUAUAUUAUCUGAAGAAACAACUUAUUAGUCUAUUCAUUUGACAUUUAAUAUUUAUACAUUAAAGAUGCAUACACACUCCAUGCUAUCUCAGAUUAUUUGUACAUUAAAGAUGUAUAGACAAUCCACGCUAUUUCACUUUGAGGAAGAAGAAAACAGAGAAGCUACUAUCUUCUUUUCUUUUCUUUUUUUAUAUCUUCUUUUGGUGAAUCAAAAGUUAAGUGACUUACGUCCCAAAGAAUUACUAGAGUGAAGAGAGAUCUCAAGACUCAGCAAGCUUGAAGAUAAUUAUUUACUAACAAAAUCCUUGCAUCGACACGGAAAUAUAAGCCCACAUCUUUGGGAAAUAUGAGUAUGAUCCAUACCAACUAGACCAACUUUUAAUGACAUAAGUAGAUAUGAUAUAACAAGAGUGAAAGAUAGCAAAACAAAUUAAGAGUGCCCAUAUAUCAUUAUUCACGAAUGGGGCAUGUAAGACAGUUUCUAUGUUUCUUUUUCAAAAGUUGAUGGAUAGAUCAUUCAUAUGCCUCAUUCUUAAUUCUUAAUAUGACAGCUUUUUAUUUUAAAAAAAGUAAAAUAAAGUAAUCGCAGUACAUAACUUCAAUGGAGGAGUAGCAAGAGAAAACAAAAUUCCAUAAUUGUUUAGAGAACAUAAUUUGCAACUGACAACCAUAUAUAUCUGCAUGCAAUUUUCUUUAAUUUCGACAAAACUACAACGAAAACCACGAAAAAAAUCCAUGCUCACUUCAAAGAACAAGUAGAAAAUGCACCAAAAGGGAAAAAAUAACAAUUGAAAGUUUUUCUUUUGGUCCAUAACUAUUGAAAGGUUAGCUGAAACUUUGGCAAUUGGCAAAACAUAGCAUUUUUGUGUGAUUUUGGUGUUUGAGCCCACAGAAGGAACCAAACCGUUCAAUCGAUUCGAUUCCAAAGCAGAAAACAAGCAACAAAACGAAAGACGGGACCUUUGGUAAACAAAAAUCUGCAUUUGCUAGAUUCUGUACGCAUGGCAAUGUAUGUGUCUUGGCAAGGCUAUGGCCAUAAACCCUCCAAAAACUCAAUUAUCACAUUCUCACAUCUUCAAACGAACAAAGCAAAAAGCAAAAAGCAAAGCGGUCGGCUUCAUCACCAUCUUUAUCUUUAACUUUUACCUACUCUACCAUAUGCCCAACCCAAUGCUUCUUUUUAUCAGAACCUUGUUCCUGCUUUUACGCACCGUAUAAGAACUCUAAACCCAAACCAUUCAAUUCCAUUUUCCAAUUUCCAUUUUCCACCAAUUCUCAAUCAAACAAACACUAAAUCACACAAAAAUGGAGAUAUUAUCACAAAUGUGGUCUCUGUUAGGGUUACUCACCGUGCUCCAAAACGUUCUCCCAUCCCAGCUUCUCUCAUUGCUCCAUUCCUUAUACGAAUCUCUGCAAGAUCUGCUUUCUCCGUAUUCCUAUUUCGAGAUUCCAGAGUUCAACGGCUACUGCGGCGUCGACCUCAACGACCUCUACCGCCACGUGCACCUCUACCUCAAUGCCGCGAACCACGCCCCCGCAGCAGCAUGCCGCCGACUAACGCUCUCACGCUCGCCUUCCUCGAACCGCAUUUCCUUCGCUGUCGCCCCGAACCACACCGUCCAAGACUCCUUCCGCGGCCACCGCGUCACAUGGACGCACCACGUCGACACCGCGCAGGACUCGCUCGAGGAGAAGCGCAGCUUCACGCUCCGCCUCCCGAAGCGUCACCGCCACACGCUCCUCUCUCCCUACCUUGCCCACGUCACCGCACGCGCCGAGGAGUUCGAGCGCGUCUCGCGAGAGCGCAGACUCUUCACCAACAAUACGACCGGGUCGGGCUCCUUCGAAUCGGGUUGGGUCUCCGUCCCCUUCCGGCACCCGUCCACCUUCG
rnacentral:lncRNA from 1 species